GCCCAACCACCCAGCCAUCCUUUAGCUGUCAAUUACAUCAAAAUUGUGAAUUUCUCUCGUUAUGCAUUUGACAUUUUCGACUCAAUAUAAAACGGAAAUAGCUCACAAACACCUGCACGCAGUGGCUACAUAUUCAUUCGGCUUGUACAUAUAAACCAUAUACAAUUGAAUCUGUCAAACGGCGCUCUGUACACCUUUCGCCCGUAAUAAAUAAAUAAUCAAUGGAUUUGUGUGCCCAUUUCGAAGCAGUGGCAACCUCGCAACAUGCGACGUAUACGUAAUAUGCUGGCCAAUUUGUUUGCCAUUCAAAGGAUAAUUUCACUUUGUUCUGAUUUAUAUAACGGAAGUGACGAAGAAAGAAUGGAAAUUGGCAUUCUUAGUAUCGAAUCGAAUUGAAUUAAAUUGAAAUGAAUUGAAUUGAAUUGAGUGGCAGGUGAGCGAUAAGCCUUUAACAAGCAUUCAUCACACAAUGUGCAGGGAUGUUCUGCUCCACGGGAAUUCAUGUAUAAUUCACAAUGAGAUUGGAAUUAAUUUGAGUUCGCUUACUUCGCCAGAAGGCUAAGACUGAGCUUUGACUUGCGCUAAUAAAAAAACUACUGCACUCAAAGCCAUUCAAGUUUGAGCGACAAAACUUUUGCCAAAACUUCGUGCUGAGGAAAAUAGAAAAAUCAACACCAGAAAUAAAAAUGCUAAGUAAACAUGGAAAUACCAGGCAAUCCCCCUGUGAAUAAAUUGGCAAAUAGAAAAUUGAAAGAGAAACACGGGAAACAAGUUGGAAAUAAGUGCAAGCAAAUUGGAAAUAAGAAGGUUUUAAUUAAAAUGAAAUAUUUCAAAAAUA